rnacentral:rRNA from 1 species
GACGAACGCUGGCGGCGUGCUUAAUACAUGCAAGUCGAACGGACAGGCCAUGCUCUUGUGGUGUGCUCGAGUGGCGCACGGGUGAGUAACACGUGUGUAACAUGCCCUUUGCUUUGGGAUAACUUCCGGAAACUUGGGCUCAUACCGGAUAGGAGCUCCUGCUGCAUGGUGGGGUAUGGAAAGUUUCGGCGGUUGGUGAUGGACUAGCGUCUUCUCUGCUUGCUGGUGGGGUAGUGGCAUACAAAGGCUUUGAAGGGCAGCAGGCCUGAGCGGGUGACCGGCCACAUUGGGACUGAGAUACGGCCGAGGCUCCUACGGGAGGCAGCAGUGGGGAAUAUUGCAGAAUGGGCGGAAGCCUGAUGCAGCAACGCCGCGUGCGGGAUGACGGCCUUCGGGUAGUAACCCGAUUGCGCCUGUGACGAAGCGUGAGUGACGGUAAUUGGUAAAGAAGCACCGGCUAACUACGUG